rnacentral:snoRNA from 1 species
UGGAGAGAGGAAGAUGGAAUACGUGACUGUGAUUCUUUUUAACUCUACAAAUUUAUCAAAAAUCUCACUCACCUAAAAUUGAAGUUCUCCAUAGGAUGUAAUAGACAUUCAAUAGUGUCUAUUUUGUCCUGAAGAGAUAUAUGA